rnacentral:rRNA from 1 species
UACGUAGGGUGCAAGCGUUGUCCGGAAUUAUUGGGCGUAAAGAGCUCGUAGGCGGCUUGUCGCGUCGGCUGUGAAAACCUGGGGCUCAACCCCGGGCCUGCAGCCGAUACGGGCAAGCUAGAAUUCGGUAGGGGAGACUGGAAUUCCAGGUGUAGCGGUGAAAUGCGUAGAUAUCUGGAGGAAUACCGGUGGCGAAGGCGGCAUCCUGGACCGACAUUGACGCUGAGGAGCGAAAGCUAGGGGAGCAAACGGG